rnacentral:rRNA from 1 species
GACGAACGCUGGCGGCGUGCCUAAUACAUGCAAGUCGAGCGAAGGGGCGGAUGGGUGAGUCACGCGUGGGUAACCUGCCCGUAAGUCUGGGAUAACAUUUGGAAACAGAUGCUAAUACCGGCUACUAAAGGAUGGAACUGAGAUGCAUUAGCUAGGUGGUAAGGUAACGGCUUACAAAGGCGAUGAUGCAUAGCCGAGUUGAGAGACUGAUCGGCCACACUGGAACUGAGACACGGUCCAGACGCCUACGGGAGGCAGCAGUGGGGAAGAUUGCACAAUGGGCGCAAGCCUGAUGCAGCCAUGCCGCGUGUAUGAAGAAGGCCUUCGGGUUGUAAAGUACUUUCAGCGAGGAGGCGUUACUCGCAGAAGAAGCACCGGCUAACUCCGUGCCAGCAGCCGCGGUAAUAC